CAACUCGCCUACAUGAAGUCGGAAUCGCUAGUAAUCGCGGAUCAGCAUGCCGCGGUGAAUACGUUCCCGGGCCUUGUACACACCGCCCGUCACACCAUGGGAGUCGGUAACACCCGAAGCCUGUAGUCUAACCGCAAGGAGGACGCAGUCGAAGGUGGGAUUGAUGACUGGGGUGAAGUCGUAACAAGGUAAC
rnacentral:rRNA from 1 species